GGUUAAUGCGUAAGACUUGAAAUCUUAUGCCCUUCGGGCGCGUCGGUUCAAAUCCGGCUC
rnacentral:tRNA from 1 species